rnacentral:tmRNA from 2 species
GGGGGUGUAAUGGUUUUCGACAGCUUAUAGCAAUUAUGUAGUAAGCCAUAUAGUGGAUGAAAUCACUAUAAAAAUCAACAAUAAAUAUAAAAGCAGAUAAUAAAUUUGCAUACGCAGCAUAAGAAAAGUUUUGCGUCAUCUAUAAAUGAAUUUUAGCUAUAGUUCAUUUAUCAGAUGUCAACAGUAUAUAGCUACGAUAUUUAAGAAGCAUAUAUUAAAUAUUGUAUUAAUAUGCAAGAUAAUUUAGAUUUUUGUUUCUUUUAAAUAAAUUGUCUAAAAUAAAAAGAAACUAUAUAUGGUAGAAAGCUAUAUAAACUUGAGUUGGAACGGAGUUCAAUUCUCCGCACCUCCACCA